GAUAGUACAGUCGUCAGAGCAAAGUCAUGGUUUGGAGAGGAGAGCUCACCUUUGUGUACUGCCAAACACUCCAAAGAGGUGGACAUGUUCCAACAGGAACACUCUCCAGGAGAAGCCUCAACCCUGACUGCCACUCCUUACUUGAUACAGGUGAAAUCAAUAAAGGCAAUGAAGAUCUACUGCUAAAAUAGUUGGUGCCAAGCCAGUGCUGGUGGGCCGUUGCAUGUAAGUCAGGGACAGAGCUUUGUGCUAGGAGGAGGAAUUGGGACUGGUGCAAGAACAGCCAUUUACUGAGGCUCUGAAGGACGGAGGAUGAGCAAUUCUGAGAUGGGCUAAAGGCAAUCACCAGGCAUGAAGGUCAUGACUCCAGGCAGUAUUAAGACUGCGGUGGAGCCAGUUCAAGUGUCCUUGGAAUGCUUUUGUGGAAAUGUGGAUGACAGCAUGGUGUUCCAGAAUUACUGAAUGUGUUUUACCUGCAGUGAAGAUGCACCAACUGUUCAUUCUCUGCAACACAUGAUGAGGUGCUAACUGCAAUCAGUUUUAACUUUCACGUUGCAAUCUGGCAUAUGUGGAUGUCUACACAUGUCUGUUUUGAGCAUGUACUUUGAUGAACAAAAUAUGAUAUCUGUCUGUGCUGGUCGCCAGCCUCGAGACCUGGCACUCAGCUUUACAGAGGGCUGUGGAUGCAUCAGAUUUCCAUUGCAGCAAUUUGUCCUCUGUCCAAAUGGAUCUUCAUGCAGUCUUCCAAGACUGGAUGCUUUGCUCGGACAACGUGCAAACCAGGAUUUCUCAGUAGGAGAAAAAGAAGCCUGAGAAAGUCUGCUGAAGCCAACUGCAUACAGUCUGAAUUUGAAGAAACUCUGAAGCCUUUGAUGAAUGUGGUCUGAAGCUUAUACGUUCAAGCCAGGAAGACUUGUUAUUUGAUUGACUGAGGAAAAUUUCCCCCUUUUUCUCUAAUCUGCUUUUACUGUAAUCUUCUGUCUCUGUGAAAAGAAAGCUGAGCUGUCUGCAUCUAAUUUUGAUGAUUUAUAUGCCUAAAUUCAGGGAAUUUCUGCUCUGAAUCUUUAUUUGGUAGAGAUGUGCAAAUGCAGUCCAGCAUUAGUCAUAUCAGACCAAGUGAGAAACAAUUUCUUCCAUUCUUUUCUCUUUUUCUUAGUUGACAGCAGCUCCUCCUUGCUGAAGGUGUGUUUGAGAGCUCUACAUCUGGUGGUUGGGCACCCAGCCCUCCCCAGUAACGUGAAGUCUGAACAUUUAACUUGGCUAGGAACCGCUUACUUUUAUUUUCAUUGUUUUUCCAGCCUUCAAGGUGAGGCUGGAUCAAGCCCUGGGCAAUGUGAUGGAGCUGUGGAGUCCCUGGUUUUUUAGAUAGCUGGACUAGAUGGCAUUCAGAGGUCCCCUCCAGCUCUAAGGAUUCUAGGAUUCUAUGAUAAAUCAUUGUUAUAGGACUAACCUCUUUUCUUCCCCCCUAAAUCCUUCCAAACUGCAUACUUACCCUCUGUUCAGCACUGCAGAAGGAAGUAUAAAGAGUGGCAAAGCCUUGGUUGCAAGCAGACUUGAUGGAUAUAUAUAUAUAAUGAUAUCAGGUUUUCAGAUGAUUUUAAAAAGAUGUUGUCCCGUCUUAAAUGUUGUCCUGGCAGUAUUAGGCCCAGAAAAAAAGCACGUGUUGUCACUAUUAAUAGGAUGAUCCUUGGAUAUGAAAAUAAAUCCUAACAAAAUACUGGCUGUAACCUUAUCUAAAAUCAUAGUCCAUGUGGUCAAUCCAAAAAUGGGGUUAAUGUGACUUGAUCUAUGUAAGUGACUUCAAGGCAAGGAUCUGUUGGCUCCUGAAGGUGUCUUAAUAAAGUAUAAAGGUAGGGAGAGAACCAAUUACUGAAUUGAAACAAUAAAAAUUCAAGAACUAAUUUGCUGGGUUUUUUAAUAUACGUGUGAGCUUAACCACUGUUGUGAGUGAUAGCUUUUACUGAUGUGUUUCUAGAGCUAGAGAAAGCAUCUCUGAAGUAUACUUGAUCCAAAACCUAGCUAUUCUUCAGGCAUGUAUCAUCUAUUAAAUAAUAGUAGCUGGGUAAAAGACAGGAGCUUUCAGAGGACUCAGUGGUCAGAUGUGAUAGAAAAAGUAUGCUCUGUGUUGAAGGAAUUGCACUGGGUUAGACCUCAGAUCUAAAUUGCUUUCCAUUGGACUGAGAGAUGCACAAAAGGCAGUAGAAACAGGGAAAUAGAUUUCUACCAGAGUGCUGAAGGGGUGAAUUUGAAUGGGCCUAUUGGAGCUGUGCUGGGUGGCAGAAGUAGGAAUUCUAGCUGUAGUCUUAUCUUCUGGGUGAGAUACUGGAAAGAGGUUUGGUCCACAGUGUUGAAAUACAGUAUCUGGUAAGUUCUCCCUUUCUCUGCUGUGGUCUUAGGAAAAAGACCUGCUUUCAACGAAGGCUUGAAAUUCUGCUGAAUUUGCUUUCUAGGAGGCAAAGACAUAAUGCAUAUGAAUGUUUUGCUUUUUGCCAGCAUGUUGCAGCUUUUUGUCUUGUAGCUUUCAGGCCUUAUAAAGGGACUGACUGCCUUUGCACUUCUGUAUUUCAUUGAAUGCAUUCCCAGCACACAGCAAAAACCUUGAUGAGAUUUUAUUAAGAAUCUGUGUUCUUUCUUAUAACAUUUUCCUAGAAAAUGUUAUUUUCCCAGAAUCAAAGCUUUCUGAGAAUGUUUCCAGCUCCAGCUGGGUGAAGGACACUCUCCUCUGGUGUGAUGGUGAAGCUAGGGAUGAUGCCCAGCCAGUGGGAACAUACUUGCUUUGCUACUGACAGAACCACUGCCAGCAAUGGAUUUGGUAAGUUGCAGUGAGUUUGGGGAAAGUAAUUCUUAUGAUUAUGUCUCAUUAUAUUCACUCUGGGUUCUUAAAAUACAGAUUAGGGUCUAAUAGCCUGAAUUCUGUAGGCGACAAGUUUAAUAACUUCUCUGUAUCAACUGUAACAAAACCAAUCCUAUCCUGAGCACAUCUCACAUCGUUAAGCUUGCUCUUAUUAAUGAACUGUUGGCUUCUCUUUGCAAAUCUUCCAAAUUUUCACAAGGCAUGUGGCAAACUCCUCAAGGUCCCCAUGGAAGUCUUGCUGUUGCUUCUGAGCAUCAACUCUGUGUCAGCUGCCUGCUGGCUGUGCCAUGUUUCUCAUUGCUUUGAGACCUUCUGAGAGCCAUCGUAAGCCUGUCCAGAGAGCUCCUGCAUCAUCAAGGUCUGUGUCCAGCAAAAGUCCCCCUGGAGCACUUAAGAAGGGAUCUUAAUUGUCUUUCUAUCCUCUGAAGAUGCAUGCGUGGACACUGCUCUCCACCUGCAGCAAAGAAACUUGCAGAGCUUUGUGGAAAAAAAAUGUGUACCAAUGUGACUGCAGGAAUACUGUAAUUUUAGGGUUUGAGGUUAGAGCCUGGUCUGCUGGGGGAUAAGUAAUACUUGAAGGCUCAUUACCCUGCCAUUUUAGGAAGGAAAUCUUGGAUGUUUGAUACAGUGAGGAAUAUCAUCCCCAGACCCCUACUUUGUUCCCUUUAUUCAUAUUAUUUUCUCUCAAGUCCUGGUGUGCUGUUUCAGUGCUUUUGUGUCUCUUUAACUGAAAUCUAGAUGCCAGCUGUUUUGCCUGUAUCACGCUUUGUUUUGCACUGCUAGAAAAUACAAGGGAGAUUUGUCUGUGUGUUUAUCAGGUGCAAGCAAACAGUUAUGUAAAGGAUCUGGAACUUGUGUCCCUUGAGCUUCUCCAUUAACCUGCUCACCAACAAUGAGCAUCUCCAUGUCACGUAGUUAGUCAGAUGGAAACUAAUGUAGAAAUUCAAGUGCCUUUGGGAGGGCAGCUCCAUGGAGAGCAGUUCACUACAGCAGAAGGCAUUAGAAUGCUAGAUUAUGCCAGAUGAAGAUAUGUGCUAUUAACUAUGGCCUCUGCUUAGCAUAGGCACUGUUACAUGAUGAUCUUUGUGUUUAUUUUUAAGUGAGUGACAUAGAUUGCUUUUGGGGAAUGACACCAUGGAGACAAAUACGUUAAAGCUGAGCAUGACAAGAUUUGGGGGGAAGAAAUUUGUGACAGACAAGGGGGAAAAUGAACAUUUGCAGAUUUCACUGAAAUGAAACAAUCUGUGCAACCCAAUUUUUUUUCUCCUAGCUCUUUUCCAACCUGGCUUAACUCGCAGCUCUCAUAAAACUGGAGAUGGACCAUUUGGUUUAUUGGUGAUUCAAAUACUAGCAGCAUAGGACUGUGUUUGCCAGUCCACAAACUUCAGACAUUAGGCUGUUCCUGGCCAUACCAGUCUGUUGUAUUAUUUCUAAUGGAGAGUCGCUUUGUGAAAAAGCAGCAGCUGCUCACUGAAAAUAAGUCUUCUCUCAAUACUGUCAGCAAAAUGCAACCUUUCAAUCAUUAAACAUUCUGUUAACAAAGGAAAAUGUGCUAUAUCAUCACCAUCUCUCUAUUGCCUCCACCACUGAAGUCUUCCUUCUACCUUGUGUUGGUUUUGCAGACAUGAAUUCUUUGACUUCAGUAAUGAUAUCUUUAAGGUAAAAUGGAAUUAGAGCCUAUGUACUUUAUCCUAGCAAUACCUUCUUGUGGAGCAUGUCCUCUUUUGCAUUUCUAUUGUUGACAAAAAUGUCUUAGCCGUGAGAUUAAUUUACUGUUUAAGAAUUUAAGAAGGACGUGUGAACUGUACAUGUUCUCCUUAAAGGGGCUUAUUAAUGUAAAUAAGAAAAACUUUGUGUUGAAACCUAAGGAAAAUAAACUGCAUACA